GAUGAACGCUGGCGGCGUGCUUAAGACAUGCAAGUCGAACGAAAUCCUUGUAGCAAUACGGGGGUUGAGUGGCGAAUGGGUGCGUAACACGUAGGUGACCUGCCCUGAAGCGGGGAAUAACAGUUCGAAAGGACUGCUAAUACCGCAUGUGGUUGUGGUCUUUUGAAAGCCAUAACGAAAGGUCUCCGCAAGGAGAUCACUUCAGGAGGGGCCUGCGGCCCAUCAGCUAGUUGGUAGGGUAACGGCCUACCAAGGCAACGACGGGUAGGGGACCUCAGAGGGUGACCCCCCACACUGGCACUGACACACGGGCCAGACUCCUACGGGAGGCAGCAGUCGGGAAUAUUGCCCAAUGCCGAAAGCUGAGGCAGCAACGCCGCGUGCGCGAUGAAGGCCUUCGGGUCGUAAAGCGCUUUUCGGGAUGAGAAGGACAGUACACCCGGAAUAAGGUACGGCUAACUACGUGCCAGCAGCCGCGGUAAAACGUAGGUACCGAGCGUUAUCCGGAUUUACUGGGCGUAAAGCGCGUUCAGGCGGUUCGGCAAGUCGGGCAUGAAAUCUCUCGGCUCAACCGGGAGAGGUUGUCCGAUACUGCUGGACUUGAGGGCAGUAGAGGGUGGUGGAAUUCCGGGUGUAGUGGUGAAAUGCGUAGAUAUCCGGAGGAACACCAGUGGCGAAAGCGGCCACCUGGACUGCACCUGACGCUAACACGCGAAAGCUAGGGGAGCGAACGGGAUUAGAAACCCCGGUAGUCCUAGCUAUAAACGAUGUUGANUAGGUGUCGACGGUUUAAACCCCGCCGGUGCCGGAGCAAACGCAUUAAGUCAACCGCCUGGGGACUACGGCCGCAAGGUUAAAACUCAAAGGAAUUGACGG
rnacentral:rRNA from 1 species